rnacentral:lncRNA from 1 species
UCAGACCUGAACUACAGCCUACCACUUUGCCUCAGGUUGAUUAAAGGAAAUAACACCUUUCUUCAUCAUUAAGAGUUGGCUUGCAGAGAGAGGAGGAAGAAAGACAGCUGCAAACUCAAAAUAUCCACAGGCUUCCCCUACAUGAACUGACGUUGCUGAGGCAACUUUAAAGACUCUGGUGGGAGUACUGAAGGAAAAGACAAAGAAGGACAGACUGAGAAGUCAGCACAAAACAACGCUAAGAACCUGGAGCUGGCUGCAAUGGGCCACUGGGCUAAACUGUACUACUGAUUUAUUUCCAUAAUUACAAGCAGCACAGCCCUUCAACAAAGAAGAACAAUUUGGCUCUGGAAAGUAGAUGGACACCUUUAAAAUAGCUCAGCUUACUGUAUGCCAGCCACAGACAAAACACAAAGGAAGACAUGACCUCCGCUUCAAUAUACUCACAAGCACGGGAAAGAAAGAACUGGCAGAAAGAGGGGCUGGUAUGAUGUAUAUUAAUAAUAUUCAGAAGAAUGAGAAGUUGCUUUCCCCCUGAUACAACUUUUUUCUAUGUUGGAUAAACUUUUCCUUUCUUAAACAAAAGCAUUAAAAGAAAUGAUUUUAUAUUGUCAGUGGAUGCCUACAAUAAUAAACGCCUCUGUUCUUUUUA